rnacentral:rRNA from 1 species
AAUAGAUACCCUGGUAGUCCACGCCGUAAACGAUGAGUGCUAAGUGUUAGGGGGUUUCCGCCCCUUAGUGCUGCAGCUAACGCAUUAAGCACUCCGCCUGGGGAGUACGGUCGCAAGACUGAAACUCAAAGGAAUUGACGGGGGCCCGCACAAGCGGUGGAGCAUGUGGUUUAAUUCGAAGCAACGCGAAGAACCUUACCAGGUCUUGACAUCCCAUUGACCACUAUGGAGACAUAGUUUUCCCUUCGGGGACAACGGUGACAGGUGGUGCAUGGUUGUCGUCAGCUCGUGUCGUGAGAUGUUGGGUUAAGUCCCGCAACGAGCGCAACCCUUGUUCUUAGUUGCCAUCAUUUAGUUGGGCACUCUAAGGAGACUGCCGGUGACAAACCGGAGGAAGGUGGGGAUGACGUCAAAUCAUCAUGCCCCUUAUGACCUGGGCUACACACGUGCUACAAUGGACGGUACAAACGGUUGCCAACCCGCGAGGGGGAGCUAAUCCGAUAAAACCAUUCUCAGUUCGGAUUGUAGGCUGCAACUCGCCUAC